UUUUUCCCCCAAAAAACGUUUUUUAUGUUUCAGCCAUCAAUACGUCACAAGCGUGCAUUGAUGAACCAAUUUGUUCUUUAUAGUAAGUAAAUUAUUUUUGGGACCAUUCAUGAAAUUGUGAAACUCAGGUGUCCCAAUACUUUUGUCUAAUGUAUGUGUACUUUACACAACAAGAUAACUUGAUAAGAGUUUUUUUCCAGAGGAAGAACAGCCAAAGACCCGGUCAGGAAGCAGCAUCUUAUCUCCCGGCAAUUGAAGAAAAUUAAAGCAAAUUGCAGGGCGGCAGUCUCAUCUCAUCACCAGUGGACCUUUCAGGCGACGAAAUAUACGGAAGGAGGUGAAACGUUGCAAAAGUUGCGAGUCCUGAGGUUUAGUUCAACGUGAUCUCAAAUUCUCAAUUCAUCAUUUCCUGCAGAAAAGUCCACAAAGCCGGUCUCGCUGCCGUGUGAAGAGGAACAAGAAUGACGUGGGUGAGUAGACAAAUGUGUCUUUGUCUGUUUCCAAGUUCCUAUAUUACGUGCCGCGUUUGGGUCCUCAUAGUAAGGCCGCUACUUUUCUCUCUGCCGCGUGUUAGUAGGUCAUCGGCAGCAGGAGAUCAUGUGAUUGUUAGUCGACAACAUCUUUGCAAAUGUCACGGCAAAGAUAAAAAGAUGCGCUUGGAAA